rnacentral:lncRNA from 1 species
AGGUAUUUCAAAUCUUGUUUCAACAUGAAAGUGUUCUAUACAUUCUUAGUUUGAGUCUAAGUCAUAGAUUAUUUAUUUAAAUUUGUACUGGAGAAUUCUUUAAGCUGAAAACUACUUUGAAUUCAAAUUGGUUAUUUUGCUGUUAAUUGGGAGACCUUACCAAUUUUGUAUUGUUUUCAGGGAAGCAGAAAGAGUGUUUUGGAAGGAAUCAUAGCCUUCUUCAGUGCACUAGAUAAGCAGCACAAUGAGGAACAGAGUGGUGACGAGUGAGUAAUAUAGUGUAGAAAUAAAGACCAAGGCUCAAAAUUUCUUCAGAAUCUAGUUCCUCAUAGAUCUUAUGUUUCAACCAUGAUCUUGGAAGUAGUGAAGAAUAGGUAAGUUGGUGAACCAGUACUUUGUGAACAUGCUGUGGGUAUGUUAUGCUGUUCUGGGUUGUCUUAUCUCGGUCACCACUUACCUGUCUGCCAUAAUACCAUCAUCAACAGUGGGCCAAUAAAUGAAAAGAUAGGGAUGAAUUCCAGCAGGGUGUUUUAAGAAAAUCUAUGUAAGUAGCUUGUACAAGAUAACAGAUAUAAAAAGGUAGGGGGUGCCAGGCAUGGUGCCUCACUCCUGUAAUCCCAGUACUUUGGUAGACUGAGGUGGGUGGAUCACCUGAGGUCAAAAGUUCAAGAUCAGCCAUGACCGAUAUGGUGCGACCUCAUCUCUACUAAAAAUACAAAAUUAGCCGGGCAUGGUGGUGCGCACCUGUAGUCCCGGCUACUUGGGAGGCCGAGGCAGGAGACUCACUUGAACCCAGGAGGCAGAGGUUGCAGUGAGCCGAGAUCAUGCCAUUGCACUCCAGCCUGGGCAACAAGAACAAAAUUCUGCCUAAAUAAAUAAAAAGGUAGGGGGGGUGACUGAAUUAAAAAUACAAAGGGACAAAAAAAAACCUAAAAGACUAAGACUGACAUUUAAAUUUUAUCAAAGUAAAGGAUUUGGGGAGGGAGAGAAAAUGAGGAACCACUAAGAAUAACGAUUAUAAAAGGGCAGCCAUAGCAGUGACUAUAGCUUGGGCUGCCUAGAGAGUCUGCCAGUCGGAACUUACUGGCAAGCUCUGUUGGGUGCUGCUGUUCUGAACAAUUUCUAGAAAGCUUAAUUCCAUAUACCAAUAGCAGUAAGGGAAUCUUCCUUUUUCUUUCUCUCUCUCUGUCUCUCUCUAGGGAUAGUAUCCAAAGCCACCAAGAAAGCCUUUCUGUUCUCAGGUCCAGCAAUGAGUUUAUGCGCUAUGCAGUGAAUGUAGCUCUGCAGAAAGUACAGCAGCUAAAGGAAACAGGGCAUGUGAGUGGCCCUGAUGGCCAAAACCCAGAAAAGAUCUUUCAGAACCUCUGUGACAUAACUCGGUAAGCCACUCCCACCCCUUAGAAACUUAUUCCACUUGGCUGUGGUGUCUCCAAGAGAACAAACUGGGAACAGAGGAUGAAGGUAAUUUGAGGUUGGACAUAUUUUAGGAGUGAAAGAAUAUAAAACAUUAGCCAGGUGGCAGGCACUUGUAAUCCCAGCUACUCAGGAAGCUGAGGCAAGAGAAUCACUUGAACCAGGAGGUGGAGGUCGCAGUGAGCUGAGUUCAUACCACUGCACUCUAGCCUGGGUGACAGGGCAAGACUCUCAAAAGAAAAAAAAAAAAAAAAAAGCCAGACAUGGCAGCUCAUGCCUGUAAUCCCAGCACUUUGGGAGGCUGAGCCGGGUGGAUUACCUGAGGUUGGGAGUUCGAGACCAGUCUGACCAACAUGGAGAAACCCUAUCUCUACUAAAAAUACAAAAAUUAGCCUGGCAUGGUGGCACAUGCCUGUCAUACCAGCUACUCGGGAGGCUGAGGCAGGAGAAUUGCUCGAACCUGGGAGGCGGAGGUUGCAGUGAGCCUAGAUUGUGCCAUUGCACUCUAGCCUGGGCAACAAGAGCGAAACUCCAUCUUAAAAGAGUGAAAAAAAGUGCAGUCAUUGACAUAGGGUCUUUUUUCUAGUCUUGCCUUCCCCUGGCGCCCCCCCCACCUUUUUUUUUUUGUUGUUGUUGUUGUUUUGGCUUUUUUUUUGGCUUUUUUUGAGAGAGUCUCGCUCUAUUGCCCAGGGUGGAAUGCCGUGGUGCAAUCUCGGCUCACUA